GGCUCUGUCGUCACCAGUACUCUAGGGCUCUGUCGUCACCAGUACUCUAGGGCUCUGUCGUCACCAGUACUCUAGGGCUCUGUCGUCACCAGUACUCUAGGGCUCUGUCGUCACCAGUACUCUAGGGCUCUGUCGUCACCAGUACUCUAGGGCUCUGUCGUCACCUGUACUCAAGGCUCUAACUCAGUACUGGCAUGUAUUUUCACUUUUAAGAAUACUAUUGAUUGAUCUUUAGUUGAUGUAAUGUUUAUUCAGAGUUAAUGUGCCUUAAUUAUUUUAGUUUGUACGAAUAAAAGGAUUGAAAUUAUUUGUAUUAUCUUAAGGGGAAUUAAUUAAAAGACGACCGAGGUGAUGAUUCGUUGAGGUUCGUCGAUGAUUCAUUGAGGUUCGUCGAUGAUUCGUUGAGGUUUGUCGAUGAUUCGUUGAGGUUCGUUGAUGAUUCGUUGAUGAUUCGUCGAUAAUUCGAUGAGGUUCGUUGAUGGGAGAGAUUUUGACAUGUAAAAUUGUUGAUCUCUUGUGGUUUUCAAUUGUGAAUAAAUUCUAUUUUAAAAGAGUCGUUCAUUGAGAGGAAUUUAAAUAUAUAUUACUUUCUGUUUUGUUGAGUUUCCAAAGAGAAGCUAUUGUACAGAGAUAAGACCAAUGGGUGAAAUAUAAGGAAAGUGUGAAAGCUUGGUGAUUUGUGAGUGUAAUGAGGAAGAGGCAAUGCUUUUUGUAGGUCGUCCAUUGUUAGUAGUCAUUACCUCUCACAGUAAACGACUUCAACUCUCCUCUCAUUAUCAUUUAUUGUCAUUGUUACAGCUAUUUCUUUUCUUUUAAUUUUGUUGCGUUUCCACGUUUUUCAUUUUAGGUUUAAUGAAAGGUCUUCUAUUGAUUUAUUUAUUUAUUUUGUUUUAAUCUCCUGUAAUAUUCAGCUCUAUAUUGACCAAAGUUUGAGGGUGUCUGUGUUGUGGUAUACAGGGUGUGUCAUAAAUUAUCUGAUCCACUUAAGAAUCUCUGGAACGCGGUGGAAUGCUCCCAGGACGAGAAAAUAUCAUAUGUUUUUCGUCAAGUCUAAUAAACCCUAUAUGUUUUUGUCUAACCGUGAAACCUCUAUUUUACGAACUAUAGUAAGUCCAUUAUAUCGAGGGUCCGUUAGAUGUGAAACCUCCAUCUAAUGAACUAUGCAGUAUAGAGAGGAAAUUCCAUUAUGUGGAGGUUUCACUAAAUAAUAUCAUCAGGUUUAUUAAUGGGUCACGUAAUUUACUGACUGCCCUAAUACAUCUCCCACACUCAAAUAGCGAAAGAAAAUUCUCCUUGACUCGCUUCCCAGACACCUGAUGUGACUCACCAAGUUGGCAGCCAUAAUCAAACACUGUAUUCCAUAAUGAAGCAUUUUUGUCUCUGUACCAUUACUGUUUUUUUUUUUUAUCGAUUACACGACAGUUACGGGAUAUUCAAUUGGGGACACAGUAGCCUGGGGUUAUGUCGUGAUUGGCCGGUGUGUCUCGGUCCUUUAAGGGUCGACACUAGGACUUACAAAUAGUUUACAGGAACGAAAUAUUGAUAAUCUCAGGUGAUUUGGGUAUUUAUUUUGUCGUCGUUAUCGGCCCCAACUCUCGAGAAAUGACCCGGGGCUACUGUGACCGUAAACUGCCGUGGUAAAUUCUGUAAUGUCCGGGUUUUGCUUUAUUGUAGUUCGCGACUGACUGUAGUUUAUGCUGGAGUAUUGAGUAAAAUGUUGUCAGUAGGUAAAUAAUUUUUCUUCAUCAUAAGGAACAUUUUUUAAUAUGUGGGGGAAAGUGUUGAUUGUCUGCUUAUACUGUACUGGGCCCAUAGAUUACUGUAUCUGACUUAUUUUAAAACUUAUUAACCUAACCUCAAACAACCCAACUCGACCUCAAACAACAGUACACAUGUGGAAGCCAUAAAAAAUGAGAAAAAAUAAAAAUUUAAAAUUGUUCGUCAAGUUUAAAUACCACGGUCAUUAGAUUUUAAAAUAAGUCGGACCUUUAUUGGACGCCCUGUAUAACUGUGAUAAGAGAUGUCAUCAAUCAUCAUGGGAUUCAUAGUUGCUCAGAAUACUUUAAUGAAUGUGGUACUUUCUUCCCUUGAUUUACCAUUGAGUUACGUUUCUGAUCUAUAUUUUCCUUCGACUCAAAAUCUCGUUGGCGACACCUGAACACCUUAGAGAAUUAAAAAAGUUUCGCUUCGAACUUAGUAUAUUAACACACUUCCCUCACACACAAAAAAAAGAUCAAAUUCCCGGAGAAAUAAAUUAUCCAUAACUUAAACUGCCGUAACUCAAGGGAACUGUACGACCACACACAAAAAAUUUUUAAAACGUCCUGCCGUUCUUUUCAAAGUUUUGUAAAUAUUAAAAAAAAAAACAAUGGUGUUGUUGAAGAGCCUUAGUGCCCUCAAUGUACGGGUUCCAAAACACUGUCUUUGUUUUUUGUACAAGAAUAAACAACAGCGUCACAUCUACCACCAACCCUUUCAUAACUACAGCUACAGUAUGAGAAAAUCUCCUAAAUCUACAGCAAUGUUAUAAUUUUUGUAGUAUUUUUUUCCAUUGUCACAUGUAGAUUGAGGUCAUUAUGUAGUGUGGGGUCAUUAUGUAGUGUGAGGUUAUUAUGUAGUGUGGGGUCAUUAUGUAGUGUGAGGUCAUUAUGUAGUGUGAGGUCAUUAUGUAGUGUGAGGUUAUUAUGUAGUGUGGGGUCAUUAUGUAGUGUGAGGUCAUUAUGUAGUGUGAGGUCAUUAUGUAGUGUGAGGUCAUUAUGUAGUGUGAGGUCAUUAUGUAGUGUGGGGUCAUUAUGUAGUGUGAGGUCAUUAUGUAGUGUGGGGUCAUUAUGUAGUGUGAGGUUAUUAUGUAGUGUGAGGUCAUUAUGUAGUGUGGGGUCAUUAUGUAGUGUGAGGUCAUUAUGUAGAUUUUGGAGAUAGUUUUGUACAACACACCUAUGUACAGUCAUAUACAUGUACACAUACUCCACCAUACGUACAGUCAUACUCAUGUACACACACUCCACCAUACAUAGUCAUUCUCGUGUACAGUUUUUUUGAGUGCCUGUACCUAAGUUUUUGAGUGACUGUACCUAAGUUUUGGUGACUGUACCUAAAGUUUUGAUUGACUGUACCUAAGUUUUUGAGUGACUGUACCUAAGUUUUUGAGUGACUGUACCUAAGUUUUUGAGUGCCUGUACCUAAGUUUUUGAGUGACUGUACCUAAGUUUUUGAGUGACUGUAUAAACUUCACUACACAUAAUGUCACUGUUUUAUACAUCAUGUCAUUCAUAGGACUGAUACUGUAUUGUCAUUUAUUAUUUGUAUAUAAUAAACAGUGUGGUAAUACUGUAUGGCUUAAUAAAAUAAUUUAUCUUA
rnacentral:lncRNA from 1 species